UGGGGAAUAUUGGGCAAUGGGCGCAAGCCUGACCCAGCAAUACCGCGUGUGUGAAGAAGGCCUGAGGGUUGUAAAGCACUUUCAAUGGGGAGGAAAAAGGCAAGUUUAAUACGCUUGCCCUUGACAUUACCCAUACAAGAAGCACCGGCUAACUCCGUGCCAGCAGCCGCGGUAAUACGGAGGGUGCGAGCGUUAAUCGGAAUUACUGGGCGUAAAGCGUGCGUAGGCGGCCUGCCAAGUCAGAUGUGAAAGCCCUGGGCUCAACCUGGGAACGGCAUUUGAAACUGGCAGGCUCGAGUUGGGUAGAGGCAGGCGGAAUUCCGGGUGUAGCGGUGAAAUGCGUAGAUAUCCGGAGGAACACCAGUGGCGAAGGCGGCCUGCUGGGCCCAAACUGACGCUGAGGCACGAAAGCGUGGGUAGCAAACAGGAUUAGAUACCCCGGUAGUCCCUGAGCGGGCUGGCAAGGCGCAU
rnacentral:rRNA from 1 species